ACGGGAGGCAGCAGUGGGGAAUAUUGCACAAUGGGGGAAACCCUGAUGCAGCGACGCCGCGUGAGUGAAGAAGUAUCUCGGUAUGUAAAGCUCUAUCAGCAGGGAAGAAAACAAUGACGGUACCUGACUAAGAAGCCCCGGCUAACUACGUGCCAGCAGCCGCGGUAAUACGUAGGGAGCGAACGUUGUCCGGAUUUACUGGGUGUAAAGGGUGCGUAGGCGGGCUUGCAAGUCAGGCGUGAAAUACCGGGGCUUAACUCCGGGGCUGCGCUUGAAACUGUAAGUCUUGAGUGAAGUAGAGGCAGGCGGAAUUCCCAGUGUAGCGGUGAAAUGCGUAGAUAUUGGGAGGAACACCAGUGGCGAAGGCGGCCUGCUGGGCUUUAACCGACGCUGAGGCACGAAAGUAUGGGGAGCAAACAGGAUUAGAUACCCUGGUA
rnacentral:rRNA from 1 species